rnacentral:rRNA from 1 species
UGGGGAAUAUUGCACAAUGGGCGCAAGCCUGAUGCAGCCAUGCCGCGUGUGUGAAGAAGGCCUUCGGGUUGUAAAGCACUUUCAGCGAGGAGGAAGGGUAGUGUGUUAAUAGCACAUUGCAUUGACGUUACUCGCAGAAGAAGCACCGGCUAACUCCGUGCCAGCAGCCGCGGUAAUACGGAGGGUGCAAGCGUUAAUCGGAAUUACUGGGCGUAAAGCGCACGCAGGCGGUUUGUUAAGUCAGAUGUGAAAUCCCCGCGCUUAACGUGGGAAUUGCAUUUGAAACUGGCAAGCUAGAGUCUUGUAGAGGGGGGUAGAAUUCCAGGUGUAGCGGUGAAAUGCGUAGAGAUCUGGAGGAAUACCGGUGGCGAAGGCGGCCCCCUGGACAAACACUGACGCUCAGGUGCGAAAGCGUGGGGAGCAAACA